rnacentral:rRNA from 1 species
CGCGGCCUAUCAGCUUGUUGGUGGGGUAAUGGCCUACCAAGGCGAUGACGGGUAGCUGGCGUGAGAGCGUGACCAGCCACACUGGGACUGAGACACGGCCCAGACUCCUACGGGAGGCAGCAGUAGGGAAUCUUGCACAAUGGGCGAAAGCCUGAUGCAGCGACGCCGCGUGAGGGAUGACGGCCUUCGGGUUGUAAACCUCUUUCAGCGGGGACGAAGCGAAAGUGACGGUACCCGCAGAAGAAGGUCCGGCCAACUACGUGCCAGCAGCCGCGGUAACACGUAGGGACCGAGCGUUGUCCGGAUUUAUUGGGCGUAAAGCGCGCGUAGGCGGCUGUCCACGUCGGAUGUGAAAGCUCGGAGCUCAACUCUGAGAGGCCAUUCGAUACGGGACAGCUAGAGGCAGCUAGGGGAGAGUGGAAUUCCUGGUGUAGCGGUGAGAUGCGCAGAUAUCAGGAGGAACACCGGUGGCGAAGGCGGCUCUCUGGGGCUGUUCUGACGCUGAGGCGCGAAAGCUGGGGGAGCGAACAGGAUUAGAUACCCUGGUAGUCCCAGCCGUAAACGUUGGGUGCUAGGUGUGGGGAGGCCUUCAACCCUUUCCGUGCCGAAGCUAACGCAUUAAGCACCCCGCCUGGGGAGUACGG